GACGGACGCUGGCGGCGUGCUUAACACAUGCAAGUCGAACGGAAAGGUCCCAGCUUGCUGGGGUACUCGAGUGGCGAACGGGUGAGUAACACGUGGGUGAUCUGCCCUGCACUCUGGGAUAAGCCUGGGAAACUGGGUCUAAUACCGGAUAGGACCGUGCUUUAGUGUGUGCGGUGGAAAGUUUUUCGGUGCAGGAUGAGCCCGCGGCCUAUCAGCUUGUUGGUGGGGUAAUGGCCUACCAAGGCGGCGACGGGUAGCCGGCCUGAGAGGGUGUACGGCCACAUUGGGACUGAGACACGGCCCAGACUCCUACGGGAGGCAGCAGUGGGGAAUAUUGCACAAUGGGCGCAAGCCUGAUGCAGCGACGCCGCGUGGGGGAUGACGGCCUUCGGGUUGUAAACCCCUUUCGGCAGGGACGAAGCUUUUGUGACGGUACCUGCAUAAGAAGCACCGGCUAACUACGUG
rnacentral:rRNA from 1 species